UACGGAGGGUGCAAGCGUUGUCCGGAUUUAUUGGGUUUAAAGGGUGCGUAGGUGGCCUUAUAAGUCAGUGGUGAAAGCCUGCAGCUUAACUGUAGGACUGCCAUUGAUACUGUAGGGCUUGAGUACUGAUGAGGUAGGCGGAAUUGAUAGUGUAGCGGUGAAAUGCAUAGAUAUUAUCAAGAACACCGAUUGCGAAGGCAGCUUACUAAGGAGUUACUGACACUGAGGCACGAAAGCGUGAGGAGCAAACAGG
rnacentral:rRNA from 1 species